CCUACGGGAGGCAGCAGUGGGGGAUAUUGCACAAUGGGGGAAACCCUGAUGCAGCGACGCCGCGUGUAGGAAGACGGUCCUCUGGAUUGUAAACUACUGUCCCCAGGGACGAAGAUGACGGUACCUGGGGAGGAAGCUCCGGCUAACUACGUGCCAGCAGCCGCGGUAAUACGUAGGGAGCGAGCGUUGUCCGGAAUUACUGGGGGGAAAGGGAGCGUAGGCGGGGAUGCAAGUUGGGUGUUAAAUCUACCGGCUCAACUGGUAGUCGCACUCAAAACUGCAGCUCUUGAGUGAAGUAGAGGCAGGCGGAAUUCCUAGUGUAGCGGUGAAAUGCGUAGAUAUUAGGAGGAACACCAGUGGCGAAGGCGGCCUGCUGGGCUUUUACUGACGCUGAGGCUCGAAAGUGUGGGGAGCAAACAGGAUUAGAUACCCUAGUAGUC
rnacentral:rRNA from 1 species